rnacentral:lncRNA from 1 species
GUAGAGUGACACCCCGUCUGCUUCGAUGCGUGGGGCUCUGAGCAGAACCCCUCUCCAGCUUUGGCUGCUCCUAGGCUGGGCUCUGAUGUUUCCAGUGCAUCAUCUUGCUCUUCUCCAUGAGAACAACUAAUACGGUACGUGGGCAUGUCGUAUAAAAUGAUAUUUAAUACUGCUGGAAAUACCCUAAAGACCUA